rnacentral:rRNA from 1 species
AUUGAACGCUGGCGGCAUGCUUUACACAUGCAAGUCGAACGGUAACAGGCCGCAAGGUGCUGACGAGUGGCGAACGGGUGAGUAAUGCAUCGGAACGUGCCCAGUCGUGGGGGAUAACUACUCGAAAGAGUAGCUAAUACCGCAUACGAUCUAUGGAUGAAAGCGGGGGACCGUAAGGCCUCGCGCGAUUGGAGCGGCCGCUGUCAGAUUAGGUAGUUGGUGGGGUAAAGGCUCACCAAGCCAACGAUCUGUAGCUGGUCUGAGAGGACGACCAGCCACACGGGGACUGAGACACGGCCCAGACUCCUACGGGAGGCAGCAGUGGGGAAUUUUGGACAAUGGGCGCAAGCCUGAUCCAGCAAUGCCGCGUGCAGGAAGAAGGCCUUCGGGUUGUAAACUGCUUUUGUACGGAACGAAACGGCUCUGGUUAAUACCCGGGGCUAAUGACGGUACCGUAAGAAUAAGCACCGGCUAACUACGUG